rnacentral:rRNA from 1 species
AUUGAACGCUGGCAGCAGGCUUAACACAUGCAAGUCGAGCGAGCGGCGGACGGGUGCGUAAUGUCUGGGAAACUGCCUGAUGGAGGGGGAUAACUACUGGAAACGGUAGCUAAUACCGCAUACCAUCAGAUGUGCCCAGAUGGGAUUAGCUUGUAGGUGGGGUAAUGGCUCACCUAGGCGACGAUACCUAGUUGGUCUUAGAGGAUGACCAGCAACACCGGAACUGUGACACGGGCCCGAUCCCUACGGGAGGCAGCAGUGGGGAAUAUUGCACAAUGGGCGCAAGCCUGAUGCAGCCAUGCCGCGUGUGUGAAGAAGGCCUUCGGGUUGUAAAGCACUUUCAGCGAGGAGGCGUUACUCUCAGAAGAAGCACCGGCUAACUCCGUGCCAGCAGCCGCGGUAAUUC